rnacentral:rRNA from 1 species
UACGGAGGGUGCAAGCGUUGCUCGGAAUCAUUGGGCGUAAAGCGUACGCAGGCUGUUCGUUAAGUCGGGUGUGAAAGCCCGGGGCUCAACCCCGGAACUGCGCCCGGAACUGGCGGGCUUGAGUGCGGGAGAGGGAAGCGGAAUUCCUGGUGUAGCGGUGAAAUGCGUAGAUAUCUGGAGGAACACCGGUGGCGAAGGCGGCAUCCUGGACCGACACUGACGCUGAGGAGCGAAAGCCAGGGGAGCAAACGGG